UUGACUAUUUGUUUGUUAAGACGGCGCCAUGUGGGGUUGAGGUGGCAAUUUGACGAUUUUGCCCUUCACCGGGGUUAUCUCCGGUUUUGGCUGAUAAAGCAGACGUUGCUCAGGGUUAUAUCUGAGAUUGGAGUUGUACAAGUGUUGAAUGCGCUCAAGGUUGUCUCUUAGGUGUGUCUGUCCUCCCGGGGUUAUCUUCG
rnacentral:lncRNA from 1 species